UCUGGAUUUGUAAGGCUAACGUUGCGGAGCAUUGCCAGGAUGUUUCAUGAUUCAAGGACGGAAGGAUAGGGGAUCCAAGGCAAUCCAGAACCGUUGGUAGUCCUGUCUAUAACUAGGCCGACUAGGGAUUGGAGUGGGCUCAACACCCAUUUCAGUACCUAUGAGGAAUCCAAGGUUUUUGGGUUCUGGGGGAGUAUGGUCGCAAGACUGAACCUGGAGGAGGUUGACGGAAGGGCACCACCAGGAGUGGAGCCUGCGGCUUAAUUUGACUCAACACGGGGAAACUUACCAGGUCCAGCAUAGUAAGGAUUGACAGGUUGGGUGGGUCUGGUCUUGAUUCUGUUGGUCUGGUCCAUGGCCGGUUUUAGUUGGUGGAGUGAUUUGUCUGGUUGAUUCCGAUAACGAACGAGACCUUAACCUGCUAACUAGAUUCGAUCAACUUUGGUCGUUAUCUUCUUAGAGGGACUAUGUAACAUAAAUACUUGGAAGUUGAGGCAAUAACAGGUCUGUGAUGCCCUUAUAUGUCCUGGGCUGCACGCGUGCUACACUGAUGCAUACAACAAGUGCCUAGCUAGACAUAGUAUGGCAAUCUGGAAUAUGCAUCGUGAUGGGGAUAGAUCUUGCAAUUAUAGAUCUUGAACGAGGAAUUCCUAGUAAGUGCAAGUCAUCGGCGGGGAGAUAAAUUAUGUCCCUGCCCUUUGUACACACCGCCCGUCGCUCCUACCGAUACCGGGUGAUCCGGUGAACCUCUGGACCUAAUGGGAAGAUAAGUAAACCUAUCUCCAGAGGAAGGAGAUUUUUGCAAGUAAUCUAGAUGCACC
rnacentral:rRNA from 1 species